GCCGGCCGCCCAACCAACUGAGCCACCCAGGCGCCCCUUGAUCUCCAUUUUAGACACGGGAGUACUCGGUCACAGACGGGUUACAUAACCCACAUGCUCCCUUCCACACGGCUAAUGAGCUGCACCCAGAAGGUCAUGAGGCAAGAAGGAAACCGUCUCGAACUCCCGCCAAGCCGUUCUGCCCAGCAAGCCUCUUCCCACAAGCGUGGGGCUCCGGGCGCGCCCGAGGCCCCCGCCAGCCGAGGCGCUUUCCUGCCUUCAAAGGCCCACCUUGAGUGCAUGCCAGAAUCCGGCAGCAGACUCUGGUCCAACUCGUGCAAACCGCAGAACUCCAGGGCGGUUGAGGCCACGGAACACUGAGUUGAGAUCAAGUGGCUUAAUACCAAAAGAAAACAUCUUCAAAGUUUUGUCGGAGGGAAAGCCAAACAGAGAUAACGCUGAAGCCUCCAGCUUGCUAGUUCCUUUCUGUCUGGUCACCGCUUGAUAGGAUAUGACGUCUGAGUGCCCCUGCCCACAGCUUUAUCGUCGAAGAGCCUCUGCUUCGCUGGGUCCAGGACGAGGGUCCUUCCAGCUCAGCAGUGAGUGAAUACUCUUGACCAUAAAACUCUCUGCCAACGGAAGACAUUGUAAAUAUAGAGCAACGCAGUCUGGUGGUCAUGGCUAAGGGACUUCCAGGCCAUGGUGGUGGAUGGAGUGCAGGACUUCCGUCUCUCGAGGACCAACCCGAAGAACAAAAUUGCAAAAGCCGAGAAAGAGUCCCAGCGGCAAAGUAAUCAAGCAUGAGAAGUUGCAAAAUGUGAUGUUGUGUCCCGUCAGAGGCAGGGGCUGCCAUUGAGGUUGACCGUCUCCACAAGUGUUCACCGAUGGUCCAUGACGAUGAUGGUCACAGGGUAGAAAGGAUGGAAUUCUAUGAAUUUCUUGGUGCUCAGUUUCAACUCAGCAGGCAAGUCAUCUUCUCUCAGACGCUCCCAUCCCUCCGCUCCGUGGCGUGGCCAUAUUCUCGAGAGCGCUCGUGGUUCAUUCUGCACCUUCAAGGGCUGAUAAGCAACCUGCCGGACCUCUCUGCUCCCGGAGUCAAAUAAGCCACUCACACAUCUUUGCAUUUUGACCCAGUGGUCUCUUGGCUGUGUCCCCAGCGUGCUCUCUUGCAAAUGUGUGCACAUGCCUCAUUCUAGAAGAUAUGAUUACGAUGUGGGACCCUGUGUCUCUGUGCAGCUUGAUGCAUCUCCCAGCCAAGAAUGGGCAUGAGAAGCCGGGAAGACCCGAGUCUGAAUCCUGACUAUAUUAAUUUCUAGCUGUGUGAUCUGGAUGGAGCUACUUAAUUUCUCCGAACAGCAGAUUCCUUUAUCUGGACAGCGGUGCUAAAACCCUUUCUUCCAGCGCGGGGGACUGUUAAAGAAAAUGCCCAAACGGUAUCUGGGUCCUAGUGCACGUCAAAAACUUUUGUCUGAUCCAAGAAGUGGACUUAUAACCUUUCUCUCCUAACGUUUCAUGAAGUCAUCACAUGCUGGAUGUGCAGUCCUCAGGUAUGAUUUUCUCCCCAUUUUAGUGGGGCUUUCCCCCAACGCACUCUAUUUUCUACAUAAUUUUUGGAAGCAUUCGAAUAUAUGUUCCGUGUUAGUAAUCUCUUUCUCUCUCCCCUUUCUCUUAUGAUUGAUGACCUGGCCCGAAUCUUCACUUGGGAGUAAGGACCAGUGCUAAAGUUCUAAGCUACAGAAGUCUGCAAUCCGCAGUCGCCAGGCAUGACCUGGCGCCGUUCUACUGUUGGCGUGACCCCCGUAAGACCAGAGGAUGCUGCGCUCUGGGCCUCGAAGGCACCAACGUGAAUCCCCACCCUGAUUCUUCCCAGGAGAAGCGAAGCGUUGAAAAUUAUAUUCAGCUGCAGGAGUUUUCAGCCUCACAUUCGGAAAGAGCAGAAGUUGCUAGAGGCUAUUUUCAGAGAACUCCUAAUAAGUACAGAACCCAAAUACAGACAUGGUUGUUAACACCCUGGGAAAUGCCAAAUCCAAGCUGGAUCGCAGCCAGCAGAGAAAUGGAAAGUCCUAGAUAGCUUAUCUCAGAGCCAAUCUGUAUUACGCGGGAGGCGCAAGAGGCAAUUGCACGGGAGGACACGAACUCUCCUUCUAGGCUCUACAUCAGCGCCUUGGACUGACAACAUCAAGGUGCAUCGGGCAUUUUCUGAAUCUGCGAGUAGGUCCCUUGUCCUGCCCUGUGUUCUAUCCUGUGCUGCCAGCCUUCUUCUCCUUCAACCCACCCAUUCUUCCUGACCCGUUUCAUUCAUUCCUGGGGCUUCAGGAACCUUCUCUCCCUCAACAAAUGACUCCUUGUGAUAGAUCUCCAGGCUUGAGUUUUUAAACAAGUUUAUUCUAUUUA